rnacentral:rRNA from 1 species
GGGGUGCUCGAGUGGCGAACGGGUGAGUAACACGUGAGUAACCUGCCCUUGACUUUGGGAUAACUUCAGGAAACUGGGGCUAAUACCGGAUAGGAGCUCCUGCUGCAUGGUGGGGGUUGGAAAGUUUCGGCGGUUGGGGAUGGACUCGCGGCUUAUCAGCUUGUUGGUGGGGUAGUGGCUUACCAAGGCUUUGACGGGUAGCCGGCCUGAGAGGGUGGCCGGCCACACUGGGACUGAGACACGGCCCAG